rnacentral:tRNA from 1 species
AUUUAGGUAGCUUAUUUAUAGAGCAUAGUGCUGAAGACACUAUUGAGAUUUUAUGAUCCUUGAAUA